GUCAGGAUGGCCGAGUGGUCUAAGGCGCCAGACUCAGGUUCUGGUCCUCUCUGAGGGCGUGGGUUCGAAUCCCACUCCUGACA
rnacentral:tRNA from 1 species